rnacentral:rRNA from 1 species
GACGAACGCUGGCGGCGUGCUUAACACAUGCAAGUCGAACGGGCUGAAGUGAUAGCUUGCUAUUAUGGACGCUAGUGGGCAAACGGGUGAGUAACGCGUAGGCAACCUGCCCUUCAGAUGGGGACAACACUUCGAAAGAGGUGCUAAUACCGAAUGACGUAUCCAUUCCGCAUGGAGAGGAUACCAAAGGCCGGGCAACCGGUCACUGAAGGAUGGGCCUGCGUCUGAUUAGCUAGUUGGUGGGUAACGGCGUCACCAAGGCGACGAUCAGUAGCCGGUCUGAGAGGAUGAACGGCCACGAUUGGGACUGAGACACGGCCCAAACUCCUACGGAGGCAGCAGUGGGAAUA